UACGUAGGGUGCGAGCGUUAAUCGGAAUUACUGGGCGUAAAGCGUGCGCAGGCGGUUCGUUAAGUUCGUUGUGAAAGCCCCGGGCUCAACCUGGGAACUGCAAUGGAAACUGGGGGACUUGAGUACAGAAGAGAAGAGUGGAAUUCCACGUGUAGCGGUGAAAUGCGUAGAGAUGUGGAGGAACACCAGUGGCGAAGGCGACUCUUUGGUCUGUAACUGACGCUCAUGCACGAAAGCGUGGGGAGCAAACAGG
rnacentral:rRNA from 1 species